GAUGAACGCUGGCGGCGUGCCUAAUACAUGCAAGUCGAACGCUGGAGAUCUAGCUUGCUAGAUCGAAGGAGUGGCGAACGGGUGAGUAAUACAUAAGCAACCUACCCACGAAGACUGGGAUAAUCUCUGGAAACGGGGACUAAUACCGGGUAGGUAAUCGGAAGGCAUCUUCUGGUUAUUAAAGGUUAAAAACACUGGUGGAUGGGCUUAUGGCGCAUUAGUUAGUUGGUGAGGUAACGGCCCACCAAGACGAUGAUGCGUAGCCGGCCUGGGAGGGUGAACGGCCACAUUGGGACUGAGACACGGCCCAGACUCCUACGGGAGGCAGCAGUAGGGAAUUUUCGGCAAUGGGGGCAACCCUGACCGAGCAACGCCGCGUGAGUGAAGACGGCCUUCGGGUUGUAAAGCUCUGUUGUAAGGGAAGAACGGUAGAUAGAGAAUAUCUAAGUGACGGUACCUUACCAGAAAGCCACGGCUAACUACGUG
rnacentral:rRNA from 1 species